rnacentral:rRNA from 1 species
UUCGGUCUUGUAAUUGGAAUGGGUGCGACUUAAAACCUCGCACGAGUAUCAAUUGGAGGGCAAGUCUGGUGCCAGCAGCCGCGGUAAUUCCAGCUCCAAUAGCGUAUAUUAAAAUUGUUGCAGUUAAAAAGCUCGUAGUUGAACAUGUGCUAGUACAUUUUUGUCUGUCUCUGACAGUGCAAUUGUGUCUCGCAUUUUUUCUGGGGGUCUUUGCGCAGUUAACUCUGCGUAGAGCUUGCCAGACUUUUACUUUGAGAAAAUUAGAGUGUUUCAAGCAAGUUUGCGCUUUGCAUACUACAGCAUGGAAUAAUUUUACACGAUUCGCGUCUUGUAUUAUUGGUUCGAAGAUAUGAAUAAUGAUGAAUAGGGACAGUUGGGGGCAUUCAUAUUUG